rnacentral:rRNA from 1 species
CGAAUUCGCCCUUAGAGUUUGAUCCUGGCUCAGGACGAACGCUGGCGGCGUGCUUAACACAUGCAAGUCGAACGGAAAGGCCUCUUUCGGGGGGUACUCGAGUGGCGAACGGGUGAGUAACACGUGAGUAACCUGCCCUUGACUUUGGGAUAACUUCAGGAAACUGGGGCUAAUACCGGAUAGGAGCUCCUGCUGCAUGGUGGGGGUUGGAAAGUUUCGGCGGUUGGGGAUGGACUCGCGGCUUAUCAGCUUGUUGGUGGGGUAGUGGCUUACCAAGGCUUUGACGGGUAGCCGGCCUGAGAGGGUGACCGGCCACAUUGGGACUGAGAUACGGCCCAGACUCCUACGGGAGGCAGCAGUGGGGAAUAUUGCACAAUGGGUGGAAGCCUGAUGCAGCAACGCCGUGUGCGGGAUGACGGCCUUCGGGUUGUAAACCGCUUUCGCUCAUGACGAAUCUUUGUGUGACGGUAAUGGGUAAAGAAGCACCGGCUAACUACGUGCCAGCAGCCGCGGUGAUACGUAUGGUGCGAGCGUUGUCCCGAUUUAUUGGGCGUAAAGGGCUCGUAGGUGGUUGAUCGCGUCGGACGUAUAAUCUUGGGGCUUAACCCUGAGCGUGCUUUUGAUACUCGUUGACUUGAGGAAGGUAGGGGACAAGGGAUUCCUGGUGGAGCGGUGGAAUGCGCAGAUAUCAGGAGGAACACCGGUGGCGAAGGCGGUUCUCUAGGGCAUUCCUGACGCUGAGGAGCAAAGGCGUGGGGAGCGAACAGGAUUAGAUACCCU